AUGGGUGAGUAACACGUACUUAACAUGCCCUCUAGAUCGGAAUAACGAUUAGAAAUGAUCGCUAAUGCYGGAUACUUAUAUCCUUCGCAUGAAGGAUAUAUAAAAGGAGCGUUUGCUUCGCUAGAGGAUUGGGGUGCGUAACAUUAGCUAGUUGGUAGGGUAAUGGCCUACCAAGGCUAUGAUGUUUAGCGGGGUUGAGAGACUGAUCCGCCACACUGGGACUGAGAUACGGCCCAGACUCCUACGGGAGGCAGCAGUAGGGAAUUUUCCACAAUGGACGAAAGUCUGAUGGAGCGACACAGCGUGCAGGAUGACGGCCUUCGGGUUGUAAACUGCUGUUAUAAGGGAAGAAAAAAUAAAGUAGGAAAUGACUUUAUCUUGACGGUACCUUGUCAGAAAGCAACGGCUAACUAUGUGCCAGCAGCCGCGGUAAUACAUAGGUUGCAAGCGUUAUCCGGAAUUAUUGGGCGUAAAGCGUCUGUAGGUUGUUUGUUAAGUCUGACGUGAAAACUUGGGGCUCAACCCCAAAUUGCGUUGGAUACUGGCAAACUAGAGUUAUGAAGAGGUUAGCGGAAUUCCUUGUGAAGCGGUGAAAUGCGUAGAUAUAAGGAAGAACACCAACUUGGCGAAGGCAGCUAACUGGGCAUACACUGACACUGAGAGACGAAAGCGUGGGGAGCAAACAGGAUUAGAUACCCUGGUAGUCCACGCUGUAAACGAUGAUGAUUAGCUGAUGGGGAACUCAUCGGCACAGCCUAACGCAUUAAAUCAUCCGCCUGAGUAGUAUGCUCGCAAGAGUGAAACUUAAAGGAAUUGACGGGGAUCCGCACAAGCGGUGGAGCAUGUGGUUUAAUUUGAAGAUACGCGUAGAACCUUACCCACUC
rnacentral:rRNA from 1 species